GGGCCCGCACAAGCGGUGGAGCAUGUGGGUUAAUCGGAUGAUACGCCGAGAACCUUACCAGGGCUUGACAUGGCCGUGCCAGCCUAUGAAAGUAGGUCUUCUCCGCAAGGAGACGCGGUCACAGGUGGUGCAUGGUUGUCGUCAGCUCGUGCCGUGAGGUGUUGGGUUAAGUCCCGCAACGAGCGCAACCCUCGCCGGAUGUUGCCAGCAGGUCAAGCUGGGCACUCUUCCGGGACUGCCCGAGCAAUCGGGAGGAAGGAGAGGACGACGUCAAAUCGGCAUGCCCCUUACGCCCUGGGCUGCACACGUGCUACAAUGGCGAGUACAAAGGGUUGCUAAGCCGCGAGGUGGAGCCAAUCCCCCAAAACUCGUCCCAGUUCGGAUCGGAUGUCUGCAACUCGACUCCGUGAAGCCGGAAUCGCUAGUAACCGUGGAUCAGCAAUGCCGCGGUGAAUACGUUCCCGGGCCUU
rnacentral:rRNA from 1 species